rnacentral:lncRNA from 1 species
GGACGAUUCCAAGGAUCACUGUUGUUGCUAAUUUUUUUUCUUUUAAAAAAUACAGAUAUUUUUAAUAAAAGUAUGUUAAUUAUGUUAACCUGUAAUGGGCUUAUUAUUUCAAAAUCAAUUAACAAUGUAAAUAUUUAAAACUUCUGUGUUAAAAUUUCUAAUAGUAUAAAUAGCAGUAGAUUUAGCCCACUCUAAGGGAGAUGGUUGUGCUUUAGUCAGGAGUAGGCCGAGGCAGCCUUCUGGUGCAGCAUGACUCAGUGGGUUUGGAGGCAGGCACACAACUCCACACAUUAUGUAACCAUGCCAUGUGAGGUGCAUUAGGUGACCACUCAUAUGAGCACGUGCUUGGCUCAAAGCCACUAUUGUCUGUAAAAGGUAAAAUUACCCUGCUGACACUACAUAUGGCUUGCACCCAGAGAGAGAAUAAAGCCAUGUCGAAACCGCCUACUCGAGUGUUUUUCCAGUUACCUGCCACCCACCCACCAACUCCCCUUGGACUUUAGUUUGGGCUAGAACCUGACAAUUGGCAUCACGAACAGGAUCCUAAGGUAAGUGAGCCUUCGGUCCCUGCUGAUUCCAGGUUGGCCAUGUGACCACAACAUGGGUUGUGGUACCCGGUGGUAGCCGUGCUGUGAGGGUGGGCCUGAGUGGAAACCUGGGUGGCAGUAGAUGGGUCCCCCAUGAGCAUGGAGAAGGCGCUGAAGCAGCUGGAAGUGCAGAGCACCAAGAAGGAGAGAGCCUUUGCUGGCAGAGUUGGAUGGGCAUUUUUAACUGUGCUAAGAAAAGUACACACCCAGUCCCUGAGGGAUGCAGACUGGAGGUCUGGCUACACCGAUCUGGAAAAUAAUUAGAGGCUGCCAUGAAUGGGGACCUCCAGGUGCAGGCAGGAUGCCUGGAGGUGUGGCUUCAGAGCUUGGAAAAGGAAUUAGAGGCUACCAUGAAUGCAGGCCUGGGUCCAUCAUCUUGUCUGGAGAUCCCCACUCAGUUUCAUACCAAGGAGGAAGAACCCCUGUUGCGGGCUCACCCGGUGGUCUGACAGAAGGUAGAUCAUGAACAGCCACUGGGGCUCCAAGGGUGGACUCAGGGACUCCCCACCAUAAUGCAACACAUUUCGUAUAUUGCCUGUACCCCAACUGAGUUGCAGGAAUUAGGCAAGCAGUGUUGCCAGUGUCCAGGGGAACCCCUGCCUGCCUGGAUGCUUCGUCUGUGGAACAAGGGAGCAGAUGGUAUCUCCCAUUCCACCUCUGAGAUGGACAAGCUGGCCUCCACCAUGACUCACCCCUCUCUCUGUCAGCGGCUGCAAGUGAGCAGGUGGUUAGUGGCAGCGCAAGGAGACCACACCCUGACUGAGUGGCUACAGGCAGCCAUAUGAACUGUGUGGAAUAAUGCUGGUGAAAUGCCCAAAACUAUUUAGAAGCAGUGGCACCCCUCUUGUGGCAACAUUUGGCAGCAUGCAGUUGGGCCAUCAACAAAUCCAAGGUCCGAGGGCCUGGAUUACCUGCUAAAUUCUUGGGAGUUAUCUGGUCGGGGCUGAAGUUCCAGGCUGGACCUGAUGCUCCAAACCUUGAAUGAAUGGCCAUGGAAAAGCAGCCCAGCCCAGGUGGAGGCUUUGUUACAUGGGCCACCACCCCUAUUCAGUUGCAGAUACACACCAAGGGUAACCGCCUCUGACCAGGGACACCAUGAUCAACCAGCCAAUGCCAAAGACCUCUGGGGGUCAGACUAUUCUGAGGACUGCUUUGGCUCCACCGUCCACAGUGGCAACCACACCCACUUGGUCUUUUAUGCGGGACAUGGAUGAAGCUGGAAACCAUCAUUCUCAG